rnacentral:rRNA from 1 species
AUUGAACGCUGGCGGCAUGCCUUACACAUGCAAGUCGAACGGCAGCACGGGUGCUUGCACCUGGUGGCGAGUGGCGAACGGGUGAGUAAUACAUCGGAACGUACCUUAUCGUGGGGGAUAACGCAGCGAAAGUUGCGCUAAUACCGCAUACGCCCUGAGGGGGAAAGCGGGGGACCGUAAGGCCUCGCGCGAUUAGAGCGGCCGAUGUCUGAUUAGCUUGUUGGUGAGGUAAAAGCUCACCAAGGCGAUGAUCAGUAGCUGGUCUGAGAGGACGAUCCGCCACGCUGGGACUGAGGCACAGCCCAGACUCCUACGGGAGGCAGCAGGGGGGAAUUUUGGACAAUGGGGGCAACCCUGUUCCAGCAAUGCCGCGUGAGUGAAGAAGGCCUUCGGGUUGUAAAGCUCUUUUGUCAGGGAAGAAACAGCAGCUCUAACACAGUCUGCGAAUGACGGUACCUGAAGAAUAAGCACCGGCUAACUACGUGCCAGCCGCCGCCGUAA